UACUGGUUCACGUUCAUGAGAAGUGAGCGAUGAAUACAAUAGGCAGAACUAGAGGGGCCCUGCCUCCAGCCCGGUGGAGGAAAGGGAUCGUCAGUUAUUGGACUGUGUGGAUUUGCAGGCCCCGCAGAUCGGAACCAAAAAGAGCAGCUCCAAAUUGGGAAGAUAUGGAUUUGAUGGGUAGACUGUUGGAUGGACUGGCUGCAAGAUCGCAUGCACAGAGUGGUGGUCAAGGGCUCCAUGUCCGGGUGGAGACCAGUGGUGUCCCUCAGGUGGUCAGUACUGGAACCAGUGCUCUUUAACGUCUUCAUCAAUGACAUCAACACUGGGAUUGAGUGCCCCCUCAGAUUUGCAGGUGACCCCAAGCUGCAUGGUGCAGCCCGCACGUCCAAAGGAUGGGAUGCGAACAGAGAGACAUGCUGAGCAGUGGGCCCAGAGGAAGCUCAUGAGGUUGAAUGAAUCCGGGUGCAAGGCCUGCACCUGGGUCAUGGCAGCCCCCUGCUUUCAGUACAAGCUGGGGGAUGUAAGGAUGGAGCACAGCCCUGCCAAAAAGGACCUGAGGGUACUGAUGGAUGGCAACUGGGCAUGAGCCAGCAGAGUGCCCUCAGCCCAGAAAGCCUGCCAUACCCUGGGCAGCAUCCGAAGCAGCGCGGCCAGCAGGGUGAGGGAGGGGAUCUGCCCCUCUGCACUGUGAGCACUGCAUCCAGAUGUGGAGUCCUCAGUACAGGAGAGACAUAGACCUGUUGGGGCGUGAUCAGAAGAGGGCCACAAAAAUGGUCCCAGGGAUGGAAUACCACCUUCCAAGGACGGCUAAGAGAGCUGAGGCUGUGCAGCCUGGAGAAGAGAAGGCUCCAGGAAGACCUGAGAGUGGCCUUCAGUAUCUCAAGGGGGGCUGUAACAAAGGAGGGAACGGACUCUUUAGAUUCUUCAUAAGGAAGAAGUUUUCUAUGAUAAGCACCAUUCUGUGAUUCUGUAGUAAGGGUGGUGAGGCCCUGGAACAGGGACACUGAGAGAUCCUGGAGCCCUGAGGACUGGGCAUCAGGGCCUGGGGAUGGAUGGGAUGGAGGGCACCAUUCCUGGCCUGUUCCAGGGGCAUCUAGGCAUUGCCACCUCCCAGACCUUCCCUUGUGCUUUGUGGGGCUGUGCAGAGGAGGAGGAGGAGGUCACAGGGCACCCUAGGGAUGGCUCAGGGUCACCGUGCGGAUUGGACAGGGGCUGUAGUUGCUGUCCCCAGGGGACCCAGAUCCUGCCCUGGGCUGAUACCAGUCCUUCUUCCUGAAAUCCUGGGGCACAAACCCUGCCUCUUUGGUAGACAGCAUGGUUUGCUCAUUGUAGUGUAAAGAUUUGCUUUGGAUUUAAUCAAGCACAGAAUUCAGAGAGGAGCGUGACUGCAUCUGACUUCCCUGAGAGAUGGUACUGCAGCUGAAGAGAUGCAGAGGCAGCCAGUAACGUGCAGACCAAGCAGUACUGCCUGACGUUGGUCAGGAUGAACUUCUCCUGCUGCAGUGUGAUGAUGACAGGUCUGGAGAUGAUCUGCAAGUCCAGCUCAUAGGUGAGAGCCAGGCAUGGGCACUGCAGGAGCAGAGAGGUGUCAGGGAACAGCCAAGGCAUCAAAGAGCAUCACAAAGCAUUGAAAAGCGUCACAAAGCUGCAGCCAGGAAGCUGGGGAUUUUAAUGAGCAGCAACCAGGAUGCUAUUUGCUACCAUACAAAACAGUAGCAGAUCUCUCCCUGCAGACACCCCAAAGCCAUACAACGUGGGAACAAAGCCAGAGCUCUGCAGCACACAGCCAAAAGCCAUACCAUUGCAAGCUGAAGUGCCUUGCAGUUUUUUAUAUUGAACCCAGUCCCUGUGAAUGAAGACCCAGAACGGAGUCAAGGUGUUGAUUGAACAUGAGUAUGCCUUUACUCAUUAAAAGACAGAAGGGCAAGAGAGAUCCAGAGUAAAAGAGGGACUCCUCUGGGAAUUGAGAGACUAGUUCAGAGCUUGUGCUGCUGCCUGGUGCCUGGGACUGGCUGCCUGGCUCUAAGUCCGCCUCCAAGAAGCUCGGCUUCUCCUCAGCGAUGCCGACCUGCUCCUCAAGGAGGUGCUGCUGUUCAGGCACUUGGGCUCUGCUUGGGGUGGGCUGCACUGGAAAGGCAGUGGGUCACAAUCCAGGCUAGCGACUGUGAUGUCUGGCGGGCUCAGGUCAACAUCAUCAGCGGAGCCAGGAGAAAUGAGGGCAGGAACGUGGAUGAGCUCCUUAUCCCCAUUGUUGUUGUCAUGUGGAAGGCUGUCAUCAGAACUGCAGCGAUUCAUGCUUCCUAAGAGCUCUCCAUCGAAGGAAGCACACAGUGCAUCACUGCUGGUCCCGGGUCUUCUGGAUCAAAACUGCUUAGAUUCACCUAGGAAUGAACAGAUGGACAGGGACUGGUGAAGAGUAACCUACAAAACGCUGACUGCUGCAGAGGACCGGUUGGAAGACGGCUGCUCCACACGCCCAUCGUGCCACAGCAGCUCCUUGCUGGAUGUGCCUGUGAUAACUGGUUAGCUCCUGACAGCAAUCCCCUCACAGUGGGGAAGAAAGCAGCGCUUGCACAGCUGGUUUUAUGAGCACUAAACAAGCACAACUAAAAUGCUCAAGGGA